CAAAACGCGACAGAAGCAAAACCAGUGGAUGAAAAGUGAAAGCAAUUUUUGAGGAACAAAAUUUAAAGAGAGAAACCCCCUCAUGGUGCCCUAGCUGGAGCUGCCUUUCAGAUCUGAAAUUCAACGCCCAGUCUUUCUUAGGGUGGGGUUUUUUGGUUGCCCUGAAGUUGCAAUCUUAGCUCGUGCCCAUGUUGAUCUAAGGUGACCUCUCUUCAUCUUCAGUGUUCUGUACUGUGUAUCUUCUCAGCUUUUAGAGACAAACUAAACUGGGUUUUACAUUUUAGAGAUUUUUGAUGGAUCUGUGAGGUGGGUUUGCCUCAAUUUCUGGUUUUUGGCUAGUUUGAAUGACGACUUACCAGAUAUUUAUGGGAAUUCUGGUUUACGAGAUUUUUUUGAUUUUGAAAAAGUAUUUGGAGUGAAAAGAUCCGUUGAAUUCCAGUUGUGUAGUCUACGAAUUAACUCCUACUAGUGUCUGAGGGGAUUUCAAAAUUAUUUCUAUAGUCGGUGGACGUGAACUUUGUGCUAUUAUCGUAAAGUUAGUUUGAAGAUUCAUUGUUGUAUGCGUUGCUGCUGUGAGAAGUAAUUUAGCAAGCGAAUUAUGAAUUCAGGGUUUGCGUGAGAUAAUUGUGGAGAGACCAAAAUGAAUGAGAAAUUCUGGGUGAAUGAAAGGGACAAGACCAUGAUGGAGUCAGUUUUGGGUACUGAAGCAGGCAACUACUUACUUUCAACUACGAAUAAUGUUUUGCUGAACUUGGUUUCACCCGUGGGUGACUUGGGUGUGCAGCAGGGCCUCUGCCAGCUUGCUGAACGGUCCAAUUGGAACUAUGCCAUUUUCUGGCAGGUUUCAAGCUUAAAAUCUGGUGGGUCGGUUUUAGUUUGGGGCGAUGGGCAUUGCAAGAACCCAAAAGCCGGAACUGGAGACGUGAAUUCUUCUGGGCAGGUCAACUCAGGAGUUGAGACGAAAGAGAAGAUGAAUAAACAGGUUCUUCAAAAGCUGCAUACGUGCUUUCAUGGUUCAAAUGAGGAUAAUUAUGCGGCUCAAUUGGAUGAGGUUUCGGAUGUGGAGAUGUUGUAUCUCACCUCAAUGUACUUUACAUUUCGAUGUGAUUCAGCAUAUGACCUUGUAGAGUCGUUCAAAUCUGGUAGAGUAAUUUGGGCUUCAGAUAUGGUUCGUUGUCUUAAUCAUUACCAGUUGAGAUCUUUUCUUGCGACAUCAGCUGGGUUCCGCACUGUGGUGUUUGUACCUUUGAAAUCUGGAGUUGUGGAACUAGGAUCUGUGAAAUCAAUCCCAGAAGAGAAUGAUAUAAUGGAGAGGGUCAAGACCAUAUUUGAGCUUUCUAACUCUGCUGAAACCAAGGUGUUUCCUAAAAUUUUUGGGCGUGAACUAAGUCUUGGCAGCUCUAAGUCGAGAUCAAUUAGUAUUAACUUUUGCCCAAAGGUAGAAGAUAAUGAUUUGGUUUUCGAUUCUUACGAACUACAAGCAGUCGGUGGCAAACAAAUUUUUGGGAGUACUUCGAAUGGGUGUGCCAGUAAGAAUAAGGAGGCGAAGCUGUCUAACGUAAAUCAAAUGAUUGUUGGAGGCUUCAAUGCCAAAGUAAGUUCUGAUCAGCCUAAAGAUGACCUGUCAACUCCAAAUGAUGACCGCAAACCUAGGAAGAGAGGAAGGAAGCCUGCCAAUGGGAGGGAAGAACCCCUGAAUCACGUGGAAGCAGAGCGGCAGAGGAGGGAGAAGCUUAACCAGAGAUUCUAUGCAUUAAGAGCUGUUGUGCCCAACAUUUCUAAGAUGGACAAGGCCUCUCUACUUGGUGAUGCCAUUACCUAUAUCACUGAUCUCCAAAGGAAGAUCAUGGUUCUGGAAACAGAGAAGGAGCUAGUGAGAAAUAAGCAAAAGCCAUUGCCGGUGGCAGAGAUUGAUUUUCAGCCUAGACAUGAUGAUGCAAUCGUGAGCGUGAGCGUGAGCGUGAGCUGCCCUGUGGAUUCUCAUCCAGUUUCCCAAGUCAUCAAAGCAUUCAAGGAACAUCAAAUUACAGCUCAAGACUCAAAUGUUUCGAUAGUAGAGAACAAGGUUAUACACACGUUCUCGAUUAGAACACAAAUUGGUGCUGCAGAGCAGUUGAAAGAAGAACUUGUUUCAGCCCUCUCCAAAUGAACAGAUUGUAAAGGUUCCAUUAACAAUGCAUCUCCUUGUAGAAUUGCCCCACUGUGCUCCUUGCCAACUGGUCGUGGAAAGGGUAGUUGCAAAUUGAACGGCAUGAAUGUGGCCGGCCAUGCUGCACCUCAUGCAAUGGUUAAGGAAGCAAGUUCAUGAACAAAUAAAGUGAAAAGGCUCUCUUUUGGGUGAUUAGUUUAGUGAAAAAAAAUGAAAUACAAUUGAUUCAACUCUUAGUUUUUCUUGUAUUAAAUUUAUGUUUUUGAACAUCUAAUAUGAGUUUAAACUUG